rnacentral:rRNA from 1 species
ACGAGUUGUAUCCUCGGCUCAGGAGUGAACGACUGCGGCGUGCCUAACACAUAGCAAGUCGAGCGAAGACACUUAAAAUGGAUUCUUCGGGAUGAAGCUUUUAUGUGACUGAGUCGGCGGACGGGUGAGUAACGCGUGGGCAACCUGCCUUACACAGGGGGAUAACAGUUAGAAAUGACUGCUAAUACCGCAUAAGACCUACAGGGCUGCAUGGCCUGGUGGUAAAAACUCCGGUGGUGUAAGAUGGGCCCGCGUCUGAUUAGGUAGUUGGCGGGGUAACGGCCCACCCAAGCCGACGAUCAGUAGCCGACCUGAGAGGGUGACCGGCCACAUUGGGACUGAGACACGGCCCAGACUCCUACGGGAGGCAGCAGUGGGGAAUAUUGCACAAUGGGGGGAAACCCUGAUGCAGCGACGCCGCGUGAGUGAUGAAGUAUUUCGGUAUGUAAAGCUCUAUCAGCAGGGAAGAAAAUGACGGUACCUGACUAAGAAGCCCCGGCUAACUACGUG